UGCCAACUCGGUGGCCGUGAGCGUGAGGUCCGGUCCCCGUUCGAGUCUACCCGUCCUAGUGACGUUACUUAAAUCUGGACGUUCUAGUGUCGCACAGGCGAUUGUGAUUUCCCCGUCCUAGUGUCGUCCCUAAAAUUUUGACGUUCUAGUGUCGCAGAGAUAAUUGUAGUUUUCCCGUCCUAGUUACGUUACUUAAAUCUGGACGUUCUAGUGUCGCAGAGACAAUUGUAGUUUUCCCGUCCUAGUGUCGCCGCUAAAUUAUGGACGGUCUAGUGACGCAUGAUGAGACGUUCUAGUGUCGUUAUGAUUUUUAGAAAUUUCCCGGCCCAGUGUCGUUACUAAAAUUUAGACGUUCUAGUGAAAUGUAGACGUUCUAGUGUCGCGUUCUAGUGUCGCUUUGGAAAAGUUCUUGUAGUAAUCCGUCCCAAUGUCGCUAUGCCAGUAUAUAAAAGCUCUCAGUCGCCAUCUAUGAUCAGUUUCAUUGACAACGUCAUUCGUCAUUCUAUUUUAAAGUUAUCGUGUGGUCCUGUGGGGCAUCAGAUUUUACAGUCAUCAUACUAGUCCAUCGGCUUGUCUCUUGAGGCAGGCUAGCUUAUCGCCCGAACCAGAAGAUGGUGACAAGGAUGUCGAUGUUGAUCUCUAUCAAGCCGCUGUUCUGAUUUUGGCUCAUUUGGAUCGAUUAGCAUCUCCAUUUAUUCAAACAUUCAAAUCGGAUCGCGUAGUUAUGGAAAAUACUUUAAUUCGAUUGGAUUUGAGCGCCGCUACGGUGGACCCGGGUGGACCAUUUCACAGUAGUCCAGAAACUUCCAAUAACGAUAGAUCAAGUUGUCUGCACAGCCCUUGGUCUCCUGUUUCUUUCCGGCGAUGGCAAAGUUUUCAAAGGAUUUUGAGUCACGGAGAUCAAGUGGGCAUUGAUGUUGGGCAUCACGGCUGCUCCUUACCUGUGUUGCAGCGUUUGAAGAACCACGUUAUUGCUCUUGCAGGGGAAAUCCAAAUCUGGGUGCCGUACAAGAUACAGCUCAAGCUUUUCUCCAAUUGGCUUCAUAAAUAUUGAAAGAGCCUUCUUUUGCCUACUGCUUCAGAAAGAGCUUCAGCAUUGCCCACACUUUUGCAAAGAGACGACGAAUAUGAUAGUUGUGGUGGACGUUUCAUGGCCGAUUUAUUGGUGAUUUCCAUGAUGGCGGACGGAGGGUUACAAGCAGCUUUCGAAGCUUCGUUGCUAGCUGAAGCAAAUGAUCUUGAGAUAAACGGCCGAUGCAAUAACGACGCGGUAUUGAGAAUAGGGGAUGGCGCAAAAAAAUAAAAAAAAAUAAUAAAACAUACUAAAAAUAAGAGAAAAAAAAAAUAAAAAAUAUCUCCCAAUCAUACUAUAGCUGGGAAAAAUUUACUUUACGAGUUAUUCACGUUGAAAGUUUCGACUCCGUGGCCCACCUCUAAAACGCAGGAGGUGGCCUAUUUAUCACGUGAUUCUUGGUGCAUUACCGCUGGUCAGUUUUAACCAAUGAGAAUAGAUCACGUGAUCGGGGGAACCAAUAGAA